rnacentral:rRNA from 1 species
AACGAACGCUGGCGGCGUGUUUAAGACAUGCAAGUCGCACGGUGUCAUUUUGGUAGCAAUACUUGGAUGGCACAGUGGCGCACGGGUGAGUAACACGUGAAUUACAUGCCCUGCAGAGGGGGAUAGCCCAGGGAAACUUGGAUUAAUACCCCAUGGUCUCGCAAGAGUAAAGGUGGCCGCAAGGCUGUCGCUGCAGGAUUGGUUCGCGCCCUAUCAGCUCGUUGGCGGGGUAACGGCCCACCAAGGCUACGACGGGUACCUGGUCUGAGAGGACGAUCAGGCACACUGGAACUGAGACACGGUCCAGACACCUACGGGUGGCAGCAGUCGAGAAUAAUUCACAAUGGGGGCAACCCUGAUGGUGCAACGCCGCGUGGAGGAUGACGGUCUUCGGAUUGUAAACUCCUGUCAUCCGGGAGUAAGACCUGGGCAUGAAUAGUGCACAGGGUUGAUAGUACCGGAAGAGGAAGGGACGGCUAACUUCGUGCCAGCCGCCGCCGUAACAC